GUGGAUUUCGUUUGAAGAGCCCGACAAAGAUUUCGUGGCGCCACUUCUCUUUCGAUGAGUCACCUCUGCUGAGUCAUCAGUGCCCAUUUCCUCUGUGACAAGGAGACGUUAACUACUAUCAUCUGCUAAUAGGAAAACAUGGAGAGAUUUUUGUGACAUGUAUUUAUUCUCUGUUAUUUUAGGCAUCCAACCUCCCUGUUCAUGAAUUCUGUGUGUUCUGCACAUGAGCCACAUUAAACACCCCUGGAGCAUAGCUGCUCUCUCUGGCCUCUGGUUGUGUGAAUACGGAAUGCUCUCAGCCUGGGCUGCCUUUCCCGCCUUGUAGCUCUGUGUGAUUUUGCCUUCCCUUUUGCUCUUCCACUUAGGGAGUCAGGGGCGGUCUCAGAGAGACAGUGACACAUCAUCGGAGUGAAGGGCCGCAUCUGCUCUGUGUUCCCAGAGUCACCCCCAUUUCAGUGUUCAGACAAAUAAAUCUACAGUGACUGUCUAAUAUAAUUCAACACUUCUUCCUCUCCAGGAUGACUAUACUGCCCCUGAAGUUGAUGUUUGUCUUUGGAAAGAAGUGGGCAACUUUUUCGAAGAAAAUCACCUUGAGUCUUGAUGGACUUUUCGGAUUGAGGAAGGUAAGACCCCCCCCCCCCCCCCCCCCCCGCCCCCGGCUGAAUUUGGAUGGGCAAGUGUGAAUUGCUCUGGAGAUAAAGACAUAAGAAUUAGGGUUUUGGAAGCUGAAGCAGAGUGGCGAAGGUAUCCAGAGAGAGAAAGACCCAAAGACGAAGGAGACAGGCCACAAGAGAGAACGACUGAUAGGUUUUAGGGGAGAAAUGCCAAAUAUUCACUUUUGACAAUGUGUGAUUGUGUAGGAAAUAUAGAGAACAAAGUCAAACAAUAUAAGAGGACGUAUGAUAAAUCUAAAACGUUGAUUCAGGAGCCAGACUGCCUUUGUAUAAAUCUCAGGUCCGACACUUACUGGCUGCAUGAUCCUGGGCAGGCGAGUUCCCUGUGACCCCCAUGCUUCCAUUUCCCCAACUACAGACCUAGGACGAUGAUGACUCACUCCCAGGGUUGUUGAGGGGAAGAACUGAUUUUCCACCAACUACUCUCUGUGUCAAGGGUCA
rnacentral:lncRNA from 1 species